AUUAUUAUACCAGCAAUCCAGCCUGAAGGACUUAGCUCAUAGAUGUCUUCUGAAAUGUGGAAGAAAUACUUUCGUUUGUCAUAAAACCUCAGCAGGAGAUUGGAGUCUGGAAGAGGGAGGGGAGAAGAGGAGGACCUCAGGGAGAUUGUUUUGCUUAUUGGUGUUUAAUUAAAAACCAAACAACUUUUCCUAUUAACUUGAUGCUACUUAUUAAUUGAAAUGAGGAGACUGACUCUGGAUAUUGGGAAAAUUUAUGACCCUAGUAAUCACCAUUCCACUCUCUACUUCUAUGAGUUUGACUAAGAUUCCACAUGUGACCAUUAUUCUGAGUGUUUUAAAAGCAAUAUUUUUCUAUUGAAGAAAUGAAAAUAGCAGUCAUUCAAAAUCCUAUUGUGCUAUCUUUUGAUCAUCAUAAUA
rnacentral:lncRNA from 1 species